CUUCAACCAACCAGCCUCCCGUCAGAGAGGGACAUGCGCAAUGCUUAUUGAGGAUAUCAUUUUCUGUGUGUGGGAAUUAGAUACUGAAGGUUACAUGGUUUACAGACAAGAUCUUUAAAAAGAGACAUUCAAGGACCAAGGAAAUAAAUACCAGAAACCAAGAGCACAGAGUAUUUUCCUUCAUCAAACCAUAGACUCUUCUCUAGUUUAAUCAAACACAAAAGAAUGACCACCUUGGCAAAUGGCCACAGAGGAUGUCAACAAUUUUUUGGAGGUAAGCAAUGAAAUUCUUGUGCUAUGAGUUUUCAAUUACCAAGUACAUGGUGACAAGUAGAAUUAUGUUUUAAUGAAAAAUAAGUGUUCUUUAAUAUAGCGGUUUAUAUAAGUACAGCUAUUGUCCCCUUCCUUUUUUUUUUCUUUGAGCACUGUUGCAUGUGAAAAAUUACAUUAAGCCACUUUUGCACUUACCUCGAGUACUGUAUAAGACUGAAUUAUAUCCCUAAAUACAAAAUAAAAAUUUAAAUAGCUGAAAUUCAGUACCCAUGCUUGAAAACAGGGCUGUUGGCAUUUAUCUUGGAUGCACAAAUCAUAUAACUAUAAAUACUAAAUAGUUUGGAAGUUAAAGUUAUCUUCUGUUUAUUUUAAAAUUAUCCAUACCAUAUAUGAAUUUUUUUUCAUUUAAUUCCUGCACUUUUUUGGCCUCAAACAUUUUCAAGCAAUUGUUCUAAAGGGCUCCAAAAUCCUUGAGAUGUCAUCCUUUACAUCCCUAUCAGCUUUAUUUUUUGUGAGGUUCCUGCAUCACAAGAUGCCAUUGAACUUUUAGUUAUUUUUACAGGAGCUCUUAAUACUCCUGGAAAAAUAGCUGGCCAAGGAUUGUGGACCACGGUGCCAUCUUCAAUAUGAAAAUUAAUUACAUUACCCUUUAGAGGAAGUUUGGUUGAAAAGAAAUUGAAAACUGCAUUAUAACAAAAAUAAUAUAAGGAAUUUGCCUUCUCUGCUUUCAUAAACAGUAUUUAAGUGGGUGAAUAUAAAAUGAAAUAAAAGUAAACUUAUGAAAACAUAAGUAGAAUGCAAGAAAAUUGAUUUUUUCCAACAUUUUAUAUGAACAAAGAAACUGUAGAUAUGUCAGAAUUUUUAAUUUAGUGUUAAUUCAACCCAUAGGCCUAAGGUCAUCCAGCAAACGAGCCCGCUUUUUAAGUUGUACAUAAAAGGACAUUUUCCAAGUGAAGGAGGCCAUAAAUGUUUAAAAAGCCCAGUGUAGAGCCUUCUGAGUUUUCUUUCGGUAACUAGAGACAAAAUUAAUUCUUGCUUUUCUGUUGAGGAAAAUUUCAUCUAAUUACAUUCAAAUUAUUCUGCAACUUUUUGGACAGCAAAGCCUGGUCACCAAAGAAAAGAAAAAGCAGCUGUGUUGCCUUUUCCUCAUAGUUAUAAGAAUAGUAUUAUUAUGCAGUCACUAGGCUUUAUAGAACCGUAAGUGUUUAUCCUCUGACUGCCUUCUGGUAGGUACAUACCUAAACCUUUCUGAACUGCUGAUAAAGUAAGCCUUCUGUUUUUAAGGCUCUUCAAAGAAAUAGAUUUCAUUGCUUCUUUUAGCAAACCAAUCUGGAAUAACAGCUCUCAGGAGUAGGGAAUUCUUUCUUAACCCUUUUAUUGAGUGAUUGUUUCUGAAAUUUCUUUUCUCAGAAUCAUGCUUUAAUCAUAAUUUAAAUCUCUUCUUAGUUUCAUGUAAUCUACUUAAGGUUUAAGAAAAUACUUAAAGUUGAUCGCUGCUAAAAUUAAUAGAAAUAAUUUCCAUAAACAAUACUUCUCCAUUAGCAGCCUAUUGUUAAAUUUCUUCCUCUAAUAUUUCGUUUUUGAUCUUAUCUAGUGUCACAUCUUAUUUUGAUCUUAAGUUAUUCUUUAACCACAGAAACAUAUCUUGUGUCAGAUAAUUGUAAUUUCUCUUUCUUCCACACACAUUAUGUUAAGAACCAGCCCUUUGUUCUCUUUGAAUUGCAUUCUAUUUAUGACCAUGUCAUUAAUAAUUCUAAUCAAAAGUGCUGGUGAUUUCAUUUUCUUCUCAUAUUUUAAGGUCGAUUUGCAAAUUAUGAUUUAAAAAAAUGUUGAUAGUUAGAAAGGCAAUUAGAACAUCGUGGGUAUGACUAUAAGCUUGCUAUACAAGAACACAAAUUCAUAGAACAGAUUAAGACUGACUGAUUAACCACACCUGUGCCACUCCCACCAGCUGUGUUACCUUGGGUAAAUUACUGAUUCUCUUUGUCCCCCAAUUUGUAUAUCUUUAAAAUUUGAUAAUUAUAGCAUUGUAAGGAUUAAAUGGGAUGGAUAAUGUAAGUAAAAGCUUAGCUACUUAGCAGUUGGGUGGCAUAUAAUUCAAUAAAUAGGUGAUGUAAUUAUUAUACUUUUUGCAAAAGCAAUAAUGAAUUUGUCCAUUAUAUUCAUACCAGCUUUAUUUUACAUCAUGUUUCUGGUACUGCUACUAAGUUUUUUUUUCACAUUGAAUUUCCUCAAUGAGCAUUUUAAAUUUUAUGUUCAAGCAUGUAAAAAUGCAGUUUAUGCAGAAAUCGCUGGUAAAACAAACAAACAAAUAAAAACAUGGUUGUUUAAAAAAAAUGGCUGGUAGCCUUUUAGUCUCAUGAAAACUAUGUAUAUUACAAAUUUUGCAGGAGGUUUUACUGGAUGUUCCUGAUUUAUUGCCUGUUCUAAAAUUUUAACUUUAUUUGAACAACUAUUACUUGGAGAAAUAUUCCAUUCACAAUGCAGAGUGAUCUAAAAAAUCUUCUUUGGAUUAAAUAUCUUUUAUGGAUACUUUGAUCAAAUCUUUAAUUAGUCUGAGACGCUGGUUUAAAAUUUCAUUAGAGGAGUUCUCUUGUGGCACAGUGGGUUAAGGAUUUGGCAUUGUCACUGCAGCAGUUUGGGUCACUACUGUGACAUAGGUUUGAUCCCUGUCCCAGGGAACCUCCAAAUGCCUCAAGCACAGCCAAAGAAAAAAAA
rnacentral:lncRNA from 1 species